UGCAUCUAGAUUCCAAAGUCAGAAAUGACA
rnacentral:piRNA from 1 species